GACGAACGCUGACGGUGUGCUUUAGACAUGCAAGUCGAGCGAGAAAGCCCUUCGGGGUUAGUAAAGCGGCGAACGGGUGAGUAACACGUGGGCAAUCUGCCCCUCGCAGGGGGACAACCGGGGGAAACGUACCGCUAAUACCCCGUAACGUUUCCAGAGUCGCAUGGCUUUGGAAAGAAAGGUAGCUUCGGCCAUCCGGCGAGGAUGAGCCCGCGGUACAUUAGCUAGUUGGUGGGGUAACGGCCUACCAAGGCGGCGAUGUACAGCUGGUCUGAGAGGAUGAUCAGCCACACUGGGACUGAGACACGGCCCAGGCUCCUACGGGAGGCAGCAGUCGGGAAUCUUGCACAAUGGGCGAAAGCCUGAUGC
rnacentral:rRNA from 1 species